rnacentral:lncRNA from 1 species
CGGAUCGGACCACUUCGGUUCGGGUCGGAUCCUUCAUGACUUGGUUUGGAUCGGACCCACUUCAAUUCGAGUCGAAUCCUUCAUGGUUUGGUUCGGAUCGGACCACUUCGGUUCGGGUCGGAUCCUUCAUGGUUUGGUUCGGAUCGGACCCACUUCAAUUGGAGUCGAAUCCUUCAUGAUUUGGUUCGGAUCGGACCACUUCGGUUCAGGUUGGACCCUUUAUGAUUUGGUUCGGAUCGGACCCAUUUCAAUUCGAGUCGAAUCCUUCAUGAUUUGGUUUGGAUCGGACCUACUUCAAUUCGAUUCGAAUCUUUCAUAGUUUGGUUCGGAUUAGAGCCACUUUGGUCCGAGUAGGACCCUUUGUGGUUCGGUUCAGAUAGGAUCCGGUUUGGUUCAAUUCAGAUCAAAUUCACUUUGGUUUAAGUUGAAUCCUUUAUGGUUCAGUUCGGACCAGAUCUGGCUCGGUUCGGAUCCGGUUUAGUUCAGUUUGGUUUGAUUCAAGUUGAAUCUCAUUCGAUUCGGACCGGAUCUGGUUUGGUUCAGAUUGGUUCGGUUUAGUUCAGAUCGGGGUUUACUUUGGUUUAAGUUGAAUCUUGUUCAGUUCGGACCAGAUUUGGUUUGGUUCUGAUCCGGUUCGGUUUAGUUCAGAUCGGGUUCACUUUGAUUCAAGUCGAAUCCUGUUCGGUUCGGAUUGGACUCAUUUCGGUUCGAGUCGGAUCCUUUAUAGUUCUGAUCGGAUUGGACCGGAUUCGGUCCGAGUGGUUCAAGUCAAAUCCUAUUCGGUUCGGUUCAGAUCGGAUUCACUUUGGUUCAAGUUGAAUCCUUUGUGGUUCGAUUCAGAUCAGAUCCGGUUCGGUUCAGUUCAGAUCGGACUCACUUUAGUUCAAGUCGAAUCCCUUAUGGUUCGGUUUAAGCUGAACCGACUUGUAAUUUGGUUUGGUUUGGUUAAUAUCUUUAAUGGUUCAAUUUUUGAUUGGUAUGAGACUCAAUUAAAAUUAGACCGGUUAGAUUGGAUCGGCUUAUCGUCCGAUUUGAUUUAUCAUUAUGGCUUGGCUCGCUCGGGUCAAGCCUAUCACGAAGACGACAACACGGUCUAAUUGAGCCGAACUCGGGUCAAGCCUAUCACGAAGACGGCGACCCGGUUUAAUUAGCCGAACUCGGGUCAAGCCAAUCACUAAGACGGCGACCCGGUUUAAUUAACCGAAGUCGGGUCAAGCCUAUCACGAAGACAGCGAUCCGGUUUAAUUAACCGAACUCGGGUC